rnacentral:lncRNA from 1 species
GAUGAUCAAGACUAUUUAUGUUUAUCCCGGAAAUAAAUUUUUCUACGGUAGGGUCACACCGGGCGAUUAAAAGGGCUUCUGACAAGAGCCGGCAAAAGCCAUUGAUUCAUUAAGGAGAUGCAAUGAAAAAGCUAAGCAAAAUAAGUGCUUAUAUUUCCCUGCUUAUUUACUCUCCGCAGCUUUUGGACUCUGCAGAAAUUCCGUUUCUCAUCUCCUUCAGCUUUCACUUCCUACAUCGGACUGAACCACUCAAUAAAUGAGAUUCCUAUGGAAUUUCAACUUUUUAAACAUCAAAAACAAUGUUGCAAAGAAAGUUUAGUCGAGAAAUGAAAGAAAAAUACUCCAUAGAUCAUACUCGUGAUCAUUCUAGUCCUGUCAUGAAAGAAAAAGAUAAAAGAAACAGAGAAUUUUGGAAGGGAGUAGAGAAGUAAUUGAUUUCAACGCCAAGCAAAAGCAUAUACGGAUCCAGGAGUCGGCAGAGAUUACACAUUAGCAAAGGCAUUCGGUUACAUCGCGAUGUACAGAGGAAACUCCUUAGCGAUACAAAAUUAAAGAGGGGAGAGGGGGAGGCAGACGUUACGUACACGUAGGUACGUCGUCGAUGUAUCAGACGGAAGAGAGGGCCAGGUUGGGGUCUUGAGAGGGAGAAACAGCCAAGAGGAGGAGAACGAGCAUGAUCAAAACCGGAACGAUCAGGAGCAGCAAAGGAGGCGGCGGCAAUGGCGGUAACAGGAGAGGUAGUAACAGCAGGGACAAUCCCAGCACGACGAGAACCAUGACAGAUCUGCAACUAAAAUACCUGAUCAUCAAACUCGAAGACGAUCGCAGUGAUGAUGAUGAUGAUGAUGGGGUGGUGGAAUAACAAACGAUCGAGCUCACGAGUCAUCCUCUUCGUCCAUAGCCGUAGCAUCGAAGAGCAGCUUGUAAAGGAACUCAGAACCUUGGAGCUUUAUAAACAGCAAGCUUAUACACAGAUACAUAUACCUGUAUAUGCAUGAGUAUUAUACAUAUAUAUAUAUGAGAAGAAGAAUGAAAACAGAGAGAUUUAGAAUUUGAGAGACGCCUGAGGAGUGAAAUGAACAAGAGAGGGACAAAAAGAGAAGAAUGAAGGCGUUAGUAUUACCGAGCCUAGUCGUUACCGGUCACUUUCAGUGGGCCCACUUCGUAAAUGUCCCGAUUCAACUAACCUCCCUCUGCUUACUACUUCCGGGACCUGUCCCAAGUCCAACUCAG